GACGAACGCUGGUGGCGUGCUUAACACAUGCAAGUCGAACGGAAAGGCCCCCACUUUUUUGGUGGGGGUGCUCGAGUGGCGAACGGGUGAGUAACACGUGGGUGAUCUGCCCUGUACUUCGGGAUAAGCUUGGGAAACUGGGUCUAAUACCGGAUAGGACCAUGGUUUAGUGUCUCAUGGUGGAAAAAUUAUUGUUUUGGUGCAGGAUGAGCUCGCGGCCUAUCAGCUUGUUGGUGGGGUAAUGGCCUACCAAGGCGUCGACGGGUAGCCGGCCUGAGAGGGUGGACGGCCACAUUGGGACUGAGAUACGGCCCAGACUCCUACGGGAGGCAGCAGUGGGGAAUAUUGCACAAUGGGCGCAAGCCUGAUGCAGCGACGCCGCGUGGGGGAUGACGGCCUUCGGGUGGUAAACUCCUUUCGUUAGGGACGAAGCCGCACCUUUUUUGGGUGUGGUGACGGUACCUUUGUUAAGAAGCACCGGCUAACUACGUG
rnacentral:rRNA from 1 species